UUUCCGUAGGUGAACCUGCGGAAGGAUCAUUCCUAAUUUCUUUCCCUAACGCUUAUACCUCCCACCCUUAUGUUUUGUUCCUUGUUUGCUUUUUUCAUCGCAAGCUCGCCAGAACAUACCAUAAUUCUUUUUAUUUAUGUCUGCUGAGUACUAUAUAAUAGUUAAAACUUUCAACAACUGAUCUCUUGGUUCUGUCGUCUUUGAAUAACUCAGCAGAUCGGAAGAGCACACGUCUACACUCCAGUCACGCAUUCUCGUCUCGGAUUCCCUCUUCUGCUU
rnacentral:misc_RNA from 1 species